AUGAAUUGCCUAAGUUGGAACUGCCGGGGAGGGGGGAACACCCGGACAGUUCGUGAGUUAGCGACGUUGUGUAAGUCGCGUUCCCCCAUGCUUGUUUUUCUGUGUGAAACUAGACAAAAGGAGGAGAAGAUGAAAAGGAUCCGGGCCAAACUGGAUCUGAAGGGUUUUUGUGGAGUGGACAGCAAUGGUCUUAGUGGUGGUUUGGCGCUAUACUGGAGGGAAGAAUGUGUGGUAGAAAUUUUGGACAAAGAUGACGGAUUCAUUGAUACAGUUAUCAAAGUCCGAGAAGGAGCGACGAAAUGGAGAGCCACUUUUGUGUACGGGGAGCCACGGGUGGAGAAUAGGCACUUAAUGUGGACUAAGUUACGGAGCCCGAAAGCUGUCAAUAAUUUGCCAUGGCUGGUAAUUGGUGAUUUUAAUGAAGCUAUGUGGGACUUUGAACACUUCUCGAUCACGCCUCGGGCGGAAGUGUAG
rnacentral:rRNA from 1 species